AGUGAACGCUGGCGGUAGGCUUAACACAUGCAAGUCGAACGAGUGGCGGACGGGUGAGGCAUACAUCGGAAUCUACUCUGUCGUGGGGGUUAACGUAGGGAAACUUACGCUAAUACCGCAUACGAUUGAAUGAGCCGAUGUCGGGUUAGCUAGUUGGCGGGGUAAUGGCCCACCAAGGCCACGAUCCGUAGCUGGUCUGCGAGGGUGUUCGGCCGCAAGGGAAGUGGUACGUGGAGCAGACUCCUACGGGAGGCAGCAGUGGAGAAUAUUGGCCAAUGGGCGCAAGCCUGAACCAGCCAUACCGCGUGGGUGAAGGAGGCGUUCGGGUUGUAAGGCCGUUUUGUUGGGAAAGCGGUACCCAAAGAAUAAGCACCGGCUAACUUCGUGCCAGCAGCCGCGGUAAUAC
rnacentral:rRNA from 1 species